UUUCCGUUGGUGAACCUGCGGAAGGAUCAUUAAAGAGUCGCCCCGUUUUUUAUAAAUGGGUUCUAUUCCCAAACCGUGUAUACAUACCUUUGUUGCUUUGGCAGGCCGCCUCCGGGCGUCGGCUCCGGCUGAUAGUGCCUGCCAGAGGACCCAAACUCUGUGUUUAGUGAUGUCUGAGUACUAUAUAAUAGUUAAAACUUUCAACAACGGAUCUCUUGGUUCUG
rnacentral:misc_RNA from 1 species